GACGAACGCUGGCGGCGUGCCUAAUACAUGCAAGUAGAACGCACAGUUUAUACCGUAGCUUGCUACACCAUAGACUGUGAGUUGCGAACGGGUGAGUAACGCGUAGGUAACCUGCCUGGUAGCGGGGGAUAACUAUUGGAAACGAUAGCUAAUACCGCAUAAUAUUAAUUAUUGCAUGAUAAUUAAUUGAAAGGUGCAAUUGCACCACUACCAGAUGGACCUGCGUUGUAUUAGCUAGUAGGUGAGGUAACGGAUCACCUAGGCGACGAUACAUAGCCGACCUGGGAGGGUGAGCGGCCACACUGGGACUGAGACACGGCCCAGACGCCUACGGGAGGCAGCAGUAGGGAAUCUUCGGCAAUGGACGAAAGUCUGACCGAGCAACGCCGCGUGAGUGAAGAAGGGUUUCGGAUCGUAAAGCUCUGUUGUAAGAGAAGAACGGGUGUGAGAGUGGAAAGUUCACACUGUGACGGUAUCUUACCAGAAAGGGACGGCUAACUACGUG
rnacentral:rRNA from 1 species